rnacentral:rRNA from 1 species
ACGUAGGGGGCAAGCGUUGCUCGGAAUUACUGGGCGUAAAGGGUGUGUAGGCGGCUGAUUAAGUUAAGGGUGAAAUCCCGAGGCUCAACUUCGGAAGUGUCCUUGAUACUGGUCAGCUUGAGGCUAGUAAAGGAGAGCGGAAUUCCCGGUGGAGAGGUGAAAUGCGUAGAUAUCAGGAGGAACACCGGAGGCGUAGGCGGCUCUCUGGGCUAGUCCUGACGCUGAGGCGCGAAAGCGUGGGGAGCAAACAG